AUCAUGGCUCAGAUUGAACGCUGGCGCGAUGCCUUACACAUGCAAGUCGAACGGCAGCACGGGGCAACCUGGUGGCGAGUGGCGAACGGGUGAGUAAUGCAUCGGAACGUGCCAUUGAGUGGGGGGUAACGUAGCGAAAGUUACGCUAAUACCGCAUAUUCUGUGAGCAGGAAAGCAGGGGAUCGCAAGACCUUGCGCUCUUUGAGCGGCCGAUGUCAGAUUAGCUAGUUGGUGAGGUAACGGCUUACCAAGGCGACGAUCUGUAGCGGGUCUGAGAGGAUGAUCCGCCACACUGGAACUGAGACACGGUCCAGACUCCUACGGGAGGCAGCAGUGGGGAAUUUUGGACAAUGGGGGCAACCCUGAUCCAGCCAUGCCGCGUGAGUGAAGAAGGCCUUCGGGUUGUAAAGCUCUUUCGGCCGGGAAGAAAUCGCAUGGGUUAAUACCCUGUGUGGAUGACGGUACCGGCAUAAGAAGCACCGGCUAACUACGUG
rnacentral:rRNA from 1 species